rnacentral:lncRNA from 1 species
UACUUUCUCGCACUAGGAAGAAAGCGAGCUUGGCACAACCUGAUCCAUUAAUCAGUGAUACUCAUAUCCGUCUCAUGAAGUCUGAAUUGUGAUUAUCGUUGGGGGACGCCUCAAUGUCAAAUCCAAUCCAUAUAGAUAUCUCUACAAAGUAUUACACUAGUGUACAUGAGGACGUGGGAUAAUGAGUCUACUAUCGAACCACCCUUCGUUGAUGGAUAUCAACUUAGUUGAUUGGCCUAAUGGAAAGAUGUGAUCCAGCAUUAACAAAGAGAUAGGUCCUUGGGCAGGUGAUGCCGACACCGCAAGCUAAACCCUAUCAACUAUGCCUUUGUUAAAUAGCGUAGUGAGAGUAAGAGCUUAGACUCACCUUAUGGCGCAAGGUCUUUCACUAACACGCACUGGGAUCAACUACGAUGAGAUAUGCUCUCGUAAUGGAUGUCAUUGAACUUCACUACUUUGUCAGUUUGGUAGUUUCCGAAUAACUGAACAUGUAGCUUAUGAAUGUGGUCAUAAUAACAUCUCUAUGGGAUCAGAGAUAUACAUGAAGAUCUUAAACGGACUUCAUUCAUCCGAAUCAAGUGGCUCCAAACCACAGGAGCUUGUGUUUGCUAAAUGUAUUGAAACGCACAUGGACUCUACUUGAUUUGGAAGGGAUAUGGUGAAUUAUGCCUUUGCGUGUUCAUUCCGGAUUUACAUGGACUCUUGAUGGAUCAAGAGAUGCCAAUAUGUAUCAACAUCCAAAGAAAAAAAUCUUGGGAAGACAUGGUCUCGAUAAGGCACUCGAUGACUGUAUUGAUGAUGAGGCCUACAUAUACUCCCAUGAUUAGUCAAGGUCUUUGCUCUAAAGAGAGAUCCGUUGUUUUGUCUAAAGCAAGAUGACAAAUAUGUGUUAAGAGAUGGAGUUCCCAUCUAAGUACAAUAAGACACAUCAAUGUACUCAACACAAUACGAAAGACUUGACAUCUCAUUCGCUAUGAAAAGUUAGUAAAGCUAAGUGUAGCUAUGCGCCCACGCAACGCCAAUGUAAUGGCA